UACAGAGGGGGCAAGCGUUGUUCGGAUUUACUGGGCGUAAAGGGCGCGUAGGCGGCCACCGCAAGUCGAGUGUGAAAGCCCCGGGCUUAACUUGGGAAUUGCGCUCGAAACUACGUGGCUGGAGUGUGGCAGAGGAAGGUGGAAUUCCACGUGUAGCGGUGAAAUGCGUAGAGAUGUGGAGGAACACCAAUGGCGAAGGCAGCCUUCUGGGCCAACACUGACGCUCAUGCACGAAAGCGUGGGGAGCAAACAGG
rnacentral:rRNA from 1 species